rnacentral:lncRNA from 1 species
AUGCAAAAAAAAACAAAAUGGCUGUCUGGGGAGGCCUUACAAAUAGCUGUGAAUAGAAGAGAGGCGAAAAGCAAAGGAGAAAAGGAAAGACAUAAGCAUCUGAAUGCAGAGUUCCAAAGAAUAGCAAGAAGAGAUAAGAAAGCCUUCCUCAGCGAUCAAUGCAAAGAAAUAGAGGAAAACAACAGAAUGGGAGAGUCUAGAGAUCUCUCCAAGAAAAUUAGAGAUACCAAGGGAACAUUUCAUGCAAAGAUGAGCUCGAUAAAGGACAGAAAUGGUAUGGGCUUAACAGAAGCAGAAGAUAUUAAGAAGAGGUGGCAAGAAUACACGGAAGAACUGUACAAAAAAGAUCUUCAUGACCCAGAUAAUCCUGAUGAUGUGAUCACUAAUCUAGAGCCAGACAUCCUGGAAUGUGAAGUCAAGUGGGCCUUAGAAAGUAUCACUACAAACAAAGCUAGUGGAGGUGAUGGAAUUCCAGUUGAGCUGUUUCAAAUCCUGAAAGAUGAUGCUGUGAAAGUGCUGCACUCAAUAUGCCAGCAAGUUUGGAAAACUCAGCAGUGGCCACAGGACUGCAAAAGGUCCGUUUUCAUUCUAAUCCCAAAGAAAGGCAAUGCCAAAGAAUGCUCAAACUACCGCACAAUUGCAGUCAUCUCACAUGCUAGUAAAGUAAUGCUCAAAAUUCUCCAAGACAGGCUUCAGCAAUACAUGAACCAUGAACUCCCUGAUGUUCAAGCUGGUUUUAGACAAGACAGAGGAACCAGAAAUCAAAUUGCCAACAUCUGCUGGAUCAUGGAAAAAGCAAGAGAGUUCCAGAAAAACAUCUAUUUCUGCUUUAUUGACUAUGCCAAAGCCUUUGACUAUGUGGAUCACAAUAAACUGUGGAAAAUAAUGAGAGAGAUGGGAAUACCAGACCACCUAACCUGCCCCUUGAGAAAUCUGUAUGCAGGUCAGGAAGCAACAGUUAGAACUGGACAUGGAACAACAGACUGGUUCCAAAUAGGAAAAGGAGUAUGUCAAGGCUGUAUAUUGUCACCCUGCUUAUUUAACUUAUAUGCAGAGUACAUCAUGAGAAACACUGGACUGGAAGAAACACAAGCUGGAAUCAAGAUUGCCAGGAGAAAUAUCAAUAACCUCAGAUAUGCAGAUGACACCACCUUUAUGGCAGAAAGUGAAGAGGAGCUAAAAAGCCUCUUGAUGAACGUGAAAGAGGAGAGCAAAAAAGUUGGCUUAAAGCUCAACAUUCAGAAAAUGAAGAUCAUGGCAUCUGGUCCCAUCACUUCAUGGGAAAUAGUUGAGGAAACAGUGGAAACAGUGUCAGACUUUAUUUUUUGGGGCUCCAAAAUCACUGCAGAUGGUGACUGCAGCCAUAAAAUUAAAAGACGCUUACUCCUUGGAAGAAAAGUUAUGACCAACCUAGAUAGCAUAUUGAAAAGCAGAGACAUUACUUUGCCGACUAAGGUCCGUCUAGUCAAGGCUACGGUUUUUCCUGUGGUCAUGUAUGGAUGUGAGAGUUGGACUGUGAAGAAGGCUGAGCGCCGAAGAAUUGAUGCUUUUGAACUGUGGUGUUGGAGAAGACUCUUGAGAGUCCCUUGGACUGCAAGGAGAUCCAACCAGUCCAUUCUGAAGGAGAUCAACCCUGGGAUUUCUUUGGAAGGAAUGAUGCUAAAGCUGAAACUCCAGUACUUUGGCCAGCUCAUGCGAAGAGUUGACUCAUUGGAAAAGACUCUGAUGCUGGGAGGGAUUGAGGGCAGGAGGAGAAGGGGACGACUGAGGAUGAGAUGGCUGGAUGGCAUCACUGACUCGAUGGACGUGAGUCUGAGUGAACUCCGGGAGUUGGUGAUGGACAGGGAGGCCUGGCGUGCUGCGAUUCAUGGGGUCGCAAAGAGUCAGACAUGA